UCAGACGAACGCUGGCGGCGUGCCUAAUACAUGCAAGUCGAACGAAACUUUCUUACACCGAAUGCUUGCAUUCACCGUAAGAAGUUGAGUGGCGGACGGGUGAGUAACACGUGGGUAACCUGCCUAAAAGAAGGGGAUAACACUUGGAAACAGGUGCUAAUACCGUAUAUCUCUAAGGAUCGCAUGAUCCUUAGAUGAAAGAUGGUUCUGCUAUCGCUUUUAGAUGGACCCGCGGCGUAUUAACUAGUUGGUGGGGUAACGGCCUACCAAGGUGAUGAUACGUAGCCGAACUGAGAGGUUGAUCGGCCACAUUGGGACUGAGACACGGCCCAAACUCCUACGGGAGGCAGCAGUAGGGAAUCUUCCACAAUGGACGCAAGUCUGAUGGAGCAACGCCGCGUGAGUGAAGAAGGUCUUCGGAUCGUAAAACUCUGUUGUUAGAGAAGAACACGAGUGAGAGUAACUGUUCAUUCGAUGACGGUAUCUAACCAGCAAGUCACGGCUAACUACGUGCCAGCAGCCGCGGUAAUACGUAGGUGGCAAGCGUUGUCCGGAUUUAUUGGGCGUAAAGGGAACGCAGGCGGUCUUUUAAGUCUGAUGUGAAAGCCUUCGGCUUAACCGGAGUAGUGCAUUGGAAACUGGAAGACUUGAGUGCAGAAGAGGAGAGUGGAACUCCAUGUGUAGCGGUGAAAUGCGUAGAUAUAUGGAAGAACACCAGUGGCGAAAGCGGCUCUCUGGUCUGUAACUGACGCUGAGGUUCGAAAGCGUGGGUAGCAACAGGAU
rnacentral:rRNA from 1 species